AGAGUUUGAUCAUGGCUCAGAUUGAACGCUGGCGGCAGGCUUAACACAUGCAAGUCGAGCGGGGGAGAUUGCUUCGGUAAUUGACCUAGCGGCGGACGGGUGAGUAAUACUUAGGAAUCUGCCUAUUAAUGGGGGACAACAUCUCGAAAGGGAUGCUAAUACCGCAUACGCCCUACGGGGGAAAGCAGGGGAUCACUUGUGACCUUGCGUUACUAGAUGAGCCUAAGUCGGAUUAGCUAGUUGGUGGGGUAAAGGCCUACCAAGGCGACGAUCUGUAGCGGGUCUGAGAGGAUGAUCCGCCACACUGGGACUGAGACACGGCCCAGACUCCUACGGGAGGCAGCAGUGGGGAAUAUUGGACAAUGGGGGGAACCCUGAUCCAGCCAUGCCGCGUGUGUGAAGAAGGCCUUAUGGUUGUAAAGCACUUUAAGCGAGGAGGAGGCUCCUGUAGUUAAUACCUACAGAGAGUGGACGUUACUCGCAGAAUAAGCACCGGCUAACUCUGUGCCAGCAGCCGCGGUAAUACAGAGGGUGCGAGCGUUAAUCGGAUUUACUGGGCGUAAAGCGUGCGUAGGCGGCUUUUUAAGUCGGAUGUGAAAUCCCCGAGCUUAACUUGGGAAUUGCAUUCGAUACUGGGAAGCUAGAGUAUGGGAGAGGAUGGUAGAAUUCCAGGUGUAGCGGUGAAAUGCGUAGAGAUCUGGAGGAAUACCGAUGGCGAAGGCAGCCAUCUGGCCUAAUACUGACGCUGAGGUACGAAAGCAUGGGGAGCAAACAGGAUUAGAUACCCCGGUAGUCCAA
rnacentral:rRNA from 1 species